rnacentral:rRNA from 1 species
AUUGAACGCUGGCGGCAGGCCUAACACAUGCAAGUCGAGCGAUCGGCGGACGGGUGAUUCAUGUUUGGGGAUCUGCCCGCCAGAGGGGGAUAACUACUGGAAACGGUGGCUAAUACCUCAUACUAUCGGAUGGACCCUUAUUGGAUUAGCUAGUAGGUGGGGUAAAGGGUCACCUCGGCGACGAUCUCUAGCUGGUCUGAGAGGAGGAUCAGCCACACUGUGACUUAGGAACGGACAUGACUCCUACGGGAGGAAGCAGUGGGGAAUUUUGCACGAUGGGAGAAUGCGUGAUGCAGCCAUGCCGCGUGGAUGAAGAAGGCCUUAGGGUUGUAGAGUACUUUAAGUGGGGAGGCGUUACCCGCAGAAGAAGCACCGGCUAACUCCGUGCCAGCAGCCGCGGUAAUUC